AACUCAAUUCGUUAGUUGCGUGGUGUCAAAGAGGAAGGUAGUGCUUAAUUAUUUUCGAUAAUUAUCAUUGUUCCUUUACAUCACGCGCUGAAUAACGUCAUGAAUAAUUAUUGAAGACCACGGUUCGUUAGGGGAUAUUGAUGUUUCUUGAAUGAAACUUGUGGAUGAUACCGUAGUGUAAAUCACGAUCCUGUUCAUCCGUUUUUUCUUGCAGAAAAUCGCAUUCUCGACUUGUCAAUGUCGCAGUGCUUGUCAAAUGACCUACAAGUUCUAUUUCAUUGAUGAGUAUCAAGUAGUUUCUGGAGUAUGAAAGCAGCAGCUCAUGCCGCUGCAAGAGUCGAUUCUGUACUAAUGGCAAAAGGAAAGCUCCGAGGUUCUGACACUAACAACAAAGCAAGAAAUUUUGCUGCAAAUGGUGGAUUCAAAGGCCAGGAAAUGUAUACGACAGAAUUUGAGAUCAAUGAAGCACCUCCAAGUGCCCGAACACUACUCACUAAAGGCUACGUCCAAGAAGAAAUCAACUCCUAUUCUGGGGCUAUUGUAUCCACUCGUGGGCGAUUUAUGACCGAACAGGAAAAAGCGCGAUGUUCUAACGAACGGUCUCUUUACUUGUACAUACAAGGGCAUAAUAAGCAUAAUAUUGACUUGGCCAUACAAAAAAUUGGUGAAAUCAUCAAAACUGAGCAUCAGAGUUCUCUCAACAGGCCUAGCAGGUUCACAAAUGCACCUCCACCAUUAAUGAGUUUACACUCAGCGACACCAACUGUAGAAAAAAUCUGUGUUGGGAUAGAGAAUGCGCCUCAAGGAUUUGAUUUGCGGGGUCGAAUUAUUGGUGCUGGUGGUUCAAACUUACUCUAUAUUCGGGGUGAAACGGGAGCAACAGUAACACUACGAGGACGAGGUUCCCAAUUCGUUGAUCCUGUUUUAGGUGUAGAAUCACCAGAGCCUCUGCAUCUAUAUAUUGAACACAUAAAAGCAGAGGUGCUCCAAAAUGCAAAGCAGUUGGCCAUCAAUCUGAUACAAACAAUGCAAUCCGAACUACAAUCUUAUAUCCAGCAACAGCCACCUCCUAUUCAACCACAAGUUAUAGAACAACCUCAUAUACAACAAAUCCAACAAGCCCAGUUUCAGACCAUGAAUAUCGGUGCACUGGGUCAGCCAAAUGUUGUAACUAUUCAGCAUCAAGAUUUAAUACAACAUCCACAAAGUAGCGUUAUGACUCUUCCAGCAACAAUUUUGACGGCAACUGUUGCUGGAGGCCCAGGAGGCGGUGUCAGUGUUCCUCCACCUGGCGUACAUAUACCUUCUCAUUCUGGACCCUGUGUUUCCUCAGGACAACCUCAGGAAAUGCAGACUUUUAUGUCUCCACCUCCAGUUGGGCAAGUGCAGCUUAUCGGACCUCCUCCGACUGUGAGUCAAGUCCAGUACCAGAUUCAUCCUGCACAGUCCCUGCAGAUUCAGGGUAUCCAAGUUCCACCUCCUGGCUCUCAAAAUUCGCCUCAAUCGGUGACGCAAAUGUAUGUCAUGAGUCAGCCACCUCCACCGUCUCCAGCUCAGCAGAAUUACAUCGCUAGUAGUAGUGUACCUGUCAGUAGUGCUGUUUCUUACGUUUAUACACAGCCCAACAUUCAGAGGCCGUCGACCCCUUCGCAGAGCUUGAUCGAGACCGUGAACGUGAAUCUACAACAACCUCCGCCAUCUGCUCCCAUAAAUAUUACACAACAGCCACCACCACCUCUUCUCCAUCUCCAUUUUCCUCCGCCUAACUUCCCGCACAACCAACCACCACCCCCCAUACCUCAAACUUAUCAGAUACAAUACCAACAAGUACAGGCACCUGGCAAUCAGUCGCAAACUCAGUUUGUUCUGCAGCCUGGAGAGCACAUAGUUCCUCAAAUGCAGCAAACGCAUGAACCGCCUCCUUCGCAGCAUACGAUGCCGCCGCAAUUUGAGGGACAGCAUCCACCACAAUUUCACCUGCAAGUGCCUCCGCCUUCUACACAAACUUUUUUAGUACCUAAUGCACAAUCUGCACAACAUCAACAACCCCCACCUCAACUUGAAGAGAUUCCGCAUCAUCAGCAAGAUGUCAACCUUGAACAAGGACCUCCGCAACCAGUUCCACCCCCACAGAUGGUUCCUCCACCAUCUGCUAAUCAGGGACAAAAUUCUAUGAAUAUUAUUACUAGUGUACCACCCCCAACACAGGUACCACCUCCACAAUCUGCUCCUUGGCUCUAUCAACCUCAACCGCACCAAAUGCAACAAUCACAAGCCCAGAUCCAGCUGCCGUCGGCAAGUUUGCCGAUGCACAGCGUACCUCCACCCCAAAUUCAGGCCCAAAUUCAGUAUCACACACAGCAAAUCCAGUACCAGAAUGGGCAAAUGCAGGCACAAGUUCACUACACAAUUCAACCACCCCCGAUGCAACAGCCUCUUGAUCAAAAGCCUGGAUCUCCAGAACAGAAGCACCAUGGAGUUAAGCGGAGAUUUUCUGAUGCAGAUGGAUCUCAGGAGUCUCUGUUCCAGUGUGGACCACCACCAAUUGAAAGGCAUGGUACCGGCAGAGAAAAUGACCGGCAUCAGCAAAUCUCAAAUGGCCCACCACCGGGAGGUAUCGGCGCAGCAAAUGGCAGCCGAAACAAGAUGCUUAUACCGUCUCCACAUCCAGGUGAAAAGCGGAAUGGGGAUAAAAACGUCACCGGACAUGUUCUAGGAAACGAGCAAACUAAUUCUUGCGAGUCCAGUGGAGUAGUUCCUGCUGGACCUCCGCCCCAGGCUCCGUGGCAAGCUUGUCACAUAAGAACUCCUUGGGGACGGCCUCCACCCCCACCACGUGACGGAGAACACCAUGUGCUUUAUCCAGCACCUCCACCAAUUAAUAUGCCUCCUCCACAGAUCAGACCCCACCGAAAUCAAAUAGAGGGCAGUCGAUCUCCACCAAGUCAUCAGAAUGUGUUGACCGAUCAUUUAUCUAGCCCAGAGUAUCACCAAAUUCCACACUAUACGACAAAACCACCCCCUUACAAUUCUGUGCCAUUAAUGCAAGCUAUUUGCAACCCGCCGCCUCCUCCUCCUCUUCACCAUCAACGGCACCAACACCUGCAGCAGACGCAGCCCUACCAAGUUCCGAUCUCACAAUCUUAUCAGCCACCAGCGUCUUGUCCGCCAUGGAUGAACUGAGAAAAUUGAUUCACAUUGAAUCAAUACUGCAAUAAUUAUUGAGAAAUGCCACAAAUUUGUCCAUCCCAAUCUCGUCAGCUUGCUGCAGCUUCUAUAGCAUUCCAUCACGCACGACAGAAGUUUCCGAAACACUUGGGUAUUUGCUCAUGCUCCAGGGAUGUUUAUAAAACUCCUCUUGAAGCCUAUCCCAUGAUUAAGAAAGCUGUGAUAGCACCAACCAAGGAAGAUUUAGUUGACUCAAUACUUGAGUAUAAUGCAACAACUGACUGUUCUUAUUCAUCUCGUCCUCCAGGGAGAAAGAACUACAAGUGCUUUCCAACAGUUUCAUCUUUCCGAACAGCUUCCUGGACGAAUGGAUAUCCCGUAUGUGGAAGAGAGCAGAAAAAUAAUGGUAGAAAUAGUGAACUAAGACGUAAAAGUCUUUGCACUACAUGUGGGAACAGACACAACUGCAUCUCGUCAAAAGACGGGGUUCAGGAUAUCCCCGAGAUCAUGGUUGAUGCUGGUGGUGCUAUUGUAUCUAAAAAACCUCGCAGCAAGAUAGCAGCAUCUGUACGGGUUGUAAAUUCCCAAGAAUCUAAUCAGACGUUUAAUCACAUAUCACGGAAGCCGCUACGAGAUCAGAAGACUCAUGAGACUACUUCCAAAUCCACCCACAGUUCAGCGGGCCGGAGAAAACGUAGACGCGCUAGACACAGACGCUCUUGUGUGUAUUCCGGAAUUAGACUAAGAACGCCUGGCAGCAGAUCUCCUCCGAAAACCCAAGGAUGCUCAAUGACAUGCCAGUUUCACCGGUUUUCUUGUUCGUUUACAGCACUCUGAAUAAUUAUUUGUUAAUUCCAUUCUUUAUUUGUUUAUUCCCUCCUCAGCAGCCAGUAGGAGGCAAUCGUCAAUACCUCGAAAGCUUCAGAAUUCAAAAUGUAAGGGAUUAAUUUUCCAUCAAAUUCGGUGAAAAUUUUUCACUUCUGUGCCAUUGUUACUUAUGCAUAGACUGUCAUCAAGAAGUCUUAGCCAAGGAUAGAGAACGACGAUGUGAUGAGCCAGAAAAAUCUUACUGCAGUGACUCGCCAACCCUUGUUGACUUCCCAGCUAAACUUCAAAUCUGGAAACAUAGAACGCAGCAGAAUUCUUACAGAGAAUCACGAAAUUCCAAAUCGACAGAAAAAAAAAGCCGCCAAGGUGCAUCUCAACAAAAAGACGCUCACUAUCAAUUGGAAAAAGAAACUAAUCAAAAACAGACUGAACAUUUCCAGUUGAAUGAUAAUAAUAGGUGUGUUAUUUGAUACUUCAACAUCUAUUUAGUUGCAGCAACUGAACUUCACUAUUCCAAUGCAUAUCGAUCCUUCUUUUUCCUUUUUUUGCAAAGCAGGGACUUGAAUUAUCCGGAAAAGCAUAUAGCAGCAGAUGUCUGCCUCCGACCAUCGGUAAUAAAAGCUGCACAGUGUAAAAUGGAGCUUAGAAGUAAACCAGAAAUAAAAAGCUAUUCGACUGGGAGUCAUCUGUCAAAGAAUUCAGAUAUGAAGUCCACGUGGGAGGAAAACUUGAAUAUUAUAAACCAUAAAGACUCAAUUUCAAUACUAAUGGACAAGUUUAAAAAAAAAAAUAAGCAGCGCAAUCUCAAGUUACAGAAUAUUCACGAAUUGAACUCCGUUUUGGGAAGUAAGGCGAGUUGCGGAGAUGGUGAACCACAUCAGCUGGAUGACAUAACUAAAAUUCGACAACUAUCUGACUCUGUUACAAACCAAUCUCUACAGCCUUUUGGUAACAUCGAACCCAAGGAUCGUUUUCGACUUCGAACGAGUCUAUCUGUCUUAAAUCCUGUCACUAAACUGGGUAGGGUUGCCAAUCAGGCCCUGAAAGAACAUAAACCUCAUUUUCAAAACUUUCAUACACGACUCAACAAUACCAAGAGAAGCUGUUCCCCGAAAAGUACGCAAUGGGGACCCGCUUGUUAGCCUGCCUUAAUUCAGAGAGAUUUCAGUUUGGGAAUAAAUUAUGUAAAGAGAGGAAAGAAAUUUUACUGAAAAUCUUGACAUAGUUUUGUAUGGGAUACAUUAUAUUUCUUAAUAAUCUUUGCAUUGAAUCUCAAGAGUGGCGAUCUUCUAUUUUUGGCUCUCCUUAGGUGAUUCUGAAAAUAAAAUACAAUGAAUCGCGUGAAAAAGUUAUUAAAGAAGUAACAAAACAUACAUUCAACAGCCUUUUCAUUGCCAUCUUGCUCUACUUCUGUAGCCAACUCAUUUUUUUCAUGAGCUUCAUGGUGUUCUAUUCCAACUGGAGCUUCAACAGCAGGUUCUAAGAUCGUAACCGGUUUGAUCUCUGGCUCAUCAACAGCUACUGAUUCUUCUUGAUCAUCGCUAUGUUCAUGAGGCUCAGAUUCUACCACAACUUGCGCCACUGUCAUUUGUGCAUCUGCUUCCAAAACGUCUGUGACUGCGAGAUCUAAAUAUGCAGACGUAAUCAAUCCAGUAUCGCUUCAACCACCAUCGACUUUGAGGAUUCCUCUCUUCUUGCUUUUCCAUCAGUAUGCAUAUUAUUGCGAGCACGGAAGCCCCUGAAAGCAGCCUACGAAAUACGUAAGAGAAUUUUUAUAAUUUUAUGAAAAAAUCAAAAUAACUUCAGAUCUUAUUCUCGCCUGAAUAGUCGUUGCCGCUUCGUUUGCGCGUUCUAUUGUGUGUUUUGAGUCCUGAUACAUCAUGUCCAUCCAAGCUACCGCUUGGAUAGUUUCCCUUGGUUCUAAAACCCCCUCCCUUGGUCUCUCGGGUUCUUCAUUAGCUAAUUUUAAUCUUAUGUUCCUCCUUAUAUAAUAACCACGAUAAGAAGACUGCAAGCAAAAAGGAGAGUCAGAUGAACUGACGUACGUACAAGGUGCGCCAAGCUAUGCGAAGACGUAUUACUUGUAUAAGAGUUACUGCCUUUGCAGCCUCUUCUUGAGAGACACCAGCUUUUCUGAGGAUUGCUAUGGUGUUUGCAACUGCUCUCUGCCACUGGACCUCACCUCUUGCUUCUCUAGCUAACAUUUCUUCGUAAUGACUACGAAAGGCUGCCUAAAUCAGAUCCAAAAAAUGGGAAACAGAAAAAAGCUGAGAGCUGAGAACCGACCAUCAGCUGAGCAGAGGCUGUAGACCAACGAAGAAAAGGAAAUAAGAAGAAGAGGAAGAA